rnacentral:tRNA from 1 species
GGAUUGUGGCUCAGUGGUAGAGCGCUUGCCUAGCAUGUGUGAGGCGCUGGGUUCGAUCCUUAGCACCA